GCUGCCUCCUACACACUCCCCACUGGGGAUCAAGCCUGCAAACUGGGCACGUGCCCUGAUGGCGAAUCGAACCCCUAACCUCUCGGUUCAUGGGAUGACUCCCAACCAACUGAGCCACACCAGCUGGGGUCCAAAUCUGACCUUUGCUCCGUGAGUUCUAAGGUCACCUGAGGUGCAAAGGAGACACCCAAGUGUCUGUUUGCCUCGGGCUGUGCCCACCGCUAGGUCUCAUUUCUCUGCCCUCCUGAGCCUAGACGAAGCAGCUAGACUCACGCUGGCCAGUGAGGUGAGCGGGGUCACUCGUGGCACUUCCGGCACAGGCUUUAGAAGUCAUAUGGAAUGAAAAAUUUUCGCAUCGUAGGACCGG